UAGGAGGAAGGGUCGUCAAGAGAUGGCAUGAUAGGAGAUGUAAAUAACAGAGACAAAGAAAAACCUAAAAGAUCGUUUUUCAGCCUUCUCGUCGAAGAAGUGUGCUUUGCUCUCCAUGGAGUGGUCUUUCUGGUUCUUCACUUUCUGCUGCUUUCCUCUCCUGUCUUUACACCCACUAAACAGAACCCAACCGCUAACAUUUCUAAAAGCCCCUACUAACAGUGUAUUAGCCUUCUUCGUCGUAAUCUUCCUCCUCCUCAUCUAUUCUUGUGCCUAGUUGUGCAAGCUGAAGAGGGUCAAUGGCCAUCUUAUCCAUUUCAGAAAGUGACCAACCAGGAUAUUCUUCAUGAUUAGGUUCAGCAACAGGCGCCACUGAUGAGCUUUCAGCCACCAUUAUUGUUGUUGAUGUUGUUGUUAUUGUUGUUGCUGCUGCUGUCGUUGUUGUUGCUGCUGCUG
rnacentral:lncRNA from 1 species